GGUAUUUUCCGGUAGACGAUGGGGAUGCGUUCCAUUAGAUAGUAGGCGGGGUAACGGCCCACCUAGUCAACGAUGGAUAGGGGUUCUGAGAGGAAGGUCCCCCACAUUGGAACUGAGACACGGUCCAAACUCCUACGGGAGGCAGCAGUGAGGAAUAUUGGUCAAUGGGCGAUGGCCUGAACCAGCCAAGUAGCGUGAAGGAUGACUGCCCUAUGGGUUGUAAACUUCUUUUAUAAAGGAAUAAAGUCGGGUAUGCAUACCCGUUUGCAUGUACUUUAUGAAUAAGGAUCGGCUAACUCCGUGCCAGCAGCCGCGGUAAUACGGAGGAUCCGAGCGUUAUCCGGAUUUAUUGGGUUUAAAGGGAGCGUAGAUGGAUGUUUAAGUCAGUUGUGAAAGUUUGCGGCUCAACCGUAAAAUUGCAGUUGAUACUGGAUGUCUUGAGUGCAGUUGAGGCAGGCGGAAUUCGUGGUGUAGCGGUGAAAUGCUUAGAUAUCACGAAGAACUCCGAUUGCGAAGGCAGCCUGCUAAGCUGCAACUGACAUUGAGGCUCGAAAGUGUGGGUAUCAAACAGGAUUAGAUACCCUGGUAGUCCACACGGUAAACGAUGAAUACUCGCUGUUUGCGAUAUACGGCAAGCGGCCAAGCGAAAGCGUUAAGUA
rnacentral:rRNA from 1 species